rnacentral:rRNA from 1 species
GAUGAACGCUGGCGGCGUGCCUAGCACAUGCAAGUCGAACGAAGCACUUUAGCUUGAUUCUUCGGAUGAAGGCUAUUGUGACUGAGUGGCGGACGGGUGAGUAACGCGUGGGUAACCUGCCUCAUACAGGGGGAUAACAGUUAGAAAUGACUGCUAAUACCGCAUAAGACCACAGAGUCGCAUGGCUCAGUGGGAAAAACUCCGGUGGUAUGAGAUGGACCCGCGUCUGAUUAGGUAGUUGGUGGGGUAACGGCCUACCAAGCCGACGAUCAGUAGCCGACCUGAGAGGGUGACCGGCCACAUUGGGACUGAGACACGGCCCAAACUCCUACGGGAGGCAGCAGUGGGGAAUAUUGCACAAUGGGGGAAACCCUGAUGCAGCGACGCCGCGUGAGCGAAGAAGUAUUUCGGUAUGUAAAGCUCUAUCAGCAGGGAAGGAAAUGACGGUACCUGACUAAGAAGCACCGGCUAAAUACGUGCCAGCAGCCGCCGUAA